rnacentral:rRNA from 1 species
UUUUGCUUACGGGACGCAGCAGUGGGGGAUAUUGCACAAUGGGGGAAACCCUGAUGCAGCGACGCCGCGUGAGUGAAGAAGUAAUUCGUUAUGUAAAGCUCUAUCAGCAGGGAAGAAAAUGACGGUACCUGAGUAAGAAGCCCCGGCUAACUACGUGCCAGCAGCCGCGGUAAUACGUAGGGGGCAAGCGUUAUCCGGAUUUACUGGGUGUAAAGGGAGCGUAGACGGCAGUGCAAGUCUGGAGUGAAAGGCGGGGGCUCAACCCCCGGACUGCUCUGGAAACUGUACGGCUGGAGUGCAGGAGG